rnacentral:rRNA from 1 species
ACUGAACGCUGGCGGCAGGCCUAACACAUGCAAGUCGAGCGGUUGAGGGGAGCUUGCUCCCUGAUUCAGCGGCGGACGGGUUAGUAAUGCCUAGGAAUCUGCCUAUUAGUGGGGGACAACGUUUCGAAAGGAACGCUAAUACCGCAUACGUCCUACGGGAGAAAGCAGGGGACCUUCGGGCCUUGCGCUAAUAGAUGAGCCUAGGUCGGAUGAGCUAGUUGGCGAGGUAAUGGCUCACCAAGGCGACGAUCCGUAACUGGUCUGAGAGGAUGAUCAGUCACACUGGAACUGAGACACGGUCCAGACUCCUACGGGAGGCAGCAGUGGGGAAUAUUGGACAAUGGGCGAAAGCCUGAUCCAGCCAUGCCGCGUGUGUGAAGAAGGUCUUCGGAUUGUAAAGCACUUUAAGUUGGGAGGAAGGGCAGUAAGUUAAUACCUUGCUGUUUUGACGUUACCGACAGAAUAAGCACCGGCUAACUCUGUGCCAGCAGCCGCCGUAAGAC